UAGGGAAUCUUCGGCAAUGGACGGAAGUCUGACCGAGCAACGCCGCGUGGGUGAAGAAGGUUUUCGGAUCGUAAAGCUCUGUUGUAAGAGAAGAACGAGUGUGAGAGUGGAAAGUUCACACUGUGACGGUAUCUUACCAGAAAGGGACGGCUAACUACGUGCCAGCAGCCGCGGUAAUACGUAGGUCCCGAGCGUUGUCCGGAUUUAUUGGGCGUGAAGCGAGCGCAGGCGGUUAGAUAAGUCUGAAGUUAAAGGCUGUGGCUUAACCAUAGUAGGCUUUGGAAACUGUUUAACUUGAGUGCAAGAGGGGAGGGUGGAAUUCCAUGUGUAGCGGUGAAAUGCGUAGAUAUAUGGAGGAACACCGGUGGCGAAAGCGGCUCUCUGGCUUGUAACUGACGCUGAGGCUCGAAAGCGUGGGGAGCAAACAGGAUUAGAUACCCUGGUAGUCCACGCUGUAAACGAUGAGUGCUAGGUGUUAGACCCUUUCCGGGGUUUAGUGCCGUAGCUAACGCAUUAAGCACUCCGCCUGGGGAGUACGACCGCAAGGUUG
rnacentral:rRNA from 1 species